GUAGGUGGCAAGCGUUGUCCGGAAUUAUUGGGCGUAAAGCGCGCGCAGGCGGUUCUUUAAGUCUGAUGUGAAAGCCCACGGCUCAACCGUGGAGGGUCAUUGGAAACUGGAGAACUUGAGUACAGAAGAGGAAAGCGGAAUUCCACGUGUAGCGGUGAAAUGCGUAGAGAUGUGGAGGAACACCAGUGGCGAAGGCGGCUUUCUGGUCUGUAACUGACACUGAGGCGCGAAAGCGUGGGGAGCAAACAGGAUUAGAUACCCUGGUAGUCCACGCCGUAAACGAUGAGUGCUAAGUGUUAGGGGGGUUUCCGCCCCCCUUAGUGCUGCAGCUAACGCAUUAAGCACUCCGCCUGGGAGUACGGCCGCAAGGCUG
rnacentral:rRNA from 1 species